AUUGAACGCUGGCGGAAUGCUUUACACAUGCAAGUCGAACGGCAGCACGGACUUCGGUCUGGUGGCGAGUGGCGAACGGGUGAGUAAUGCGUCGGAACGUGCCCAAUCGUGGGGGAUAACGUAGCGAAAGUUACGCUAAUACCGCAUACGAUCUAAGGAUGAAAGCGGGGGAUCGCAAGACCUCGCGCGAAUGGAGCGGCCGAUGUUAGAUUAGGUAGUUGGUGGGGUAAAGGCUCACCAAGCCGACGAUCUAUAGCUGGUCUGAGAGGAUGAUCAGCCACACUGGGACUGAGACACGGCCCAGACUCCUACGGGAGGCAGCAGUGGGGAAUUUUGGACAAUGGGCGCAAGCCUGAUCCAGCCAUUCCGCGUGCAGGAUGAAGGCCCUCGGGUUGUAAACUGCUUUUGUACAGAACGAAAAGCUCUGGGUUAAUACCCUGGGGUCAUGACGGUACUGUAAGAAUAAGCACCGGCUAACUACGUGCCAGCCGCCGCAGUAA
rnacentral:rRNA from 1 species